AGGGAAUCUUCCACAAUGGACGAAAGUCUGAUGGAGCAACGCCGCGUGAGUGAUGAAGGUUUUCGGAUCGUAAAACUCUGUUGUAAGGGAAGAACCAGUACGUCAGGCAAUGGACGUACCUUGACGGUACCUUAUUAGAAAGCCACGGCUAACUACGUGCCAGCAGCCGCGGUAAUACGUAGGUGGCAAGCGUUGUCCGGAAUUAUUGGGCGUAAAGCGCGCGCAGGUGGUUUCUUAAGUCUGAUGUGAAAGCCCACGGCUUAACCGUGGAGGGUCAUUGGAAACUGGGAGACUUGAGUGCAGAAGAGGAAAGUGGAAUUCCAAGUGUAGCGGUGAAAUGCGUAGAGAUUUGGAGGAACACCAGUGGCGAAGGCGACUUUCUGGUCUGCAACUGACGCUGAGGCGCGAAAGCAUGGGGAGCAAAC
rnacentral:rRNA from 1 species